rnacentral:tRNA from 1 species
GCCGACUUAGCUCAGCAGGUAGAGCAACUGACUUCUAAGUCGUGGGCCGCAGGUUCGAAUCCUGCAGGGCGCGCCA